UGGGGAAUAUUGCGCAAUGGGGGGAACCCUGACGCAGCCAUGCCGCGUGAAUGAAGAAGGCCUUAGGGUUGUAAAGUUCUUUCGGUAUUGAGGAAGGUUGAUGUGUUAAUAGCACAUCAAAUUGACGUUAAAUACAGAAGAAGCACCGGCUAACUCCGUGCCAGCAGCCGCGGUAAUACGGAGGGUGCGAGCGUUAAUCGGAAUAACUGGGCGUAAAGGGCACGCAGGCGGUUAUUUAAGUGAGGUGUGAAAGCCCUGGGCUUAACCUAGGAAUUGCAUUUCAGACUGGGUAACUAGAGUACUUUAGGGAGGGGUAGAAUUCCACGUGUAGCGGUGAAAUGCGUAGAGAUGUGGAGGAAUACCGAAGGCGAAGGCAGCCCCUUGGGAAUGUACUGACGCUCAUGUGCGAAAGCGUGGGGAGCAAACAGGAUUAGAUACCCUGGUAGUCCACGCUGUAAACGCUGUCGAUUUGGGGGUUGGGGUUUAACUCUGGCGCCCGUAGCUAACGUGAUAAAUCGACCGCCUGGGGAGUACAGCCGCAAGGUUA
rnacentral:rRNA from 1 species